GAUGAACGCUGGCGGCGUGCCUAAUACAUGCAAGUCGAGCGAACAGAUGAGGAGCUUGCUCCUCUGACGUUAGCGGCGGACGGGUGAGUAACACGUGGAUAACCUACCUAUAGGACUGGGAUAACUUCGGGAAACCGGAGCUAAUACCGGAUAAUAUAUUGAACCGCAUGGUUCAAUAGUGAAAGACGGUUUUGCUGUCACUUAUAGAUGGAUCCGCGCCGCAUUAGCUAGUUGGUAAGGUAACGGCUUACCAAGGCAACGAUGCGUAGCCGACCUGAGAGGGUGAUCGGCCACACUGGAACUGAGACACGGUCCAGACUCCUACGGGAGGCAGCAGUAGGGAAUCUUCCGCAAUGGGCGAAAGCCUGACGGAGCAACGCCGCGUGAGUGAUGGAGGUCUUCGGAUCGUAAAACUCUGUUAUUAGGGAAGAACAAAUGUGUAAGUAACUAUGCACGUCUUGACGGUACCUAAUCAGAAAGCCACGGCUAACUACGUG
rnacentral:rRNA from 1 species